GCAUUUGCGUCUAAGGAGGUGCGGACUUUCGAACGCCGCAGUAGUUACGCGUCCCGCGGACCCUGUCUGAUUCUGAAAGAACAGACACACCGUGUGCGGGCCUCGUCAACUCCUGCCCGCCUCUCUGGCAUUUACGUGGGGCCUAUGCUUUUUCUGAGAUUUUCUCCUGGAAUCGCGGGGUCAGAGCUGGACCAGUGCUUGAGGUCACUUUCUUUUAAAAUAGAAAUGUAAGGUCCAAGGAAGAAAAACGCACUUACUGGAGGAGGCUGAUGAGAGAGGUGGUGUAUCACUGCCCGCAGAGGGGAAGUCGGGCCACACCCUCCACAAAAGAAGUUCCCAGUCUAGGGGUCAAAUCAGAGCUGUAGCCGCCAGCCUAUGCCAGAGCCACAGCAACUCAGGAUUCGAGCCGUGUCUGCGAUCUACACCACAGCUCACCGCAACGUGGGAUCCUCAACCCACUGAGUGAGGCCUGGGAUCAAACCCACAACCUCAUGGCUCCUAGUCAGAUUCAUUUCCACUGCACCACUACGAGAACUCCAAGACUACCUGUCAUUUGAGACAGUUCAGCCAGCCUGGAUUCACAACCUCAUUCCACCCCUUAUUAGCUCCUAUAGCUUUAGACAAUAUUUUUGACCUCUCAUUUUUACCCUGCUGUGAAAUUGGCAUAUUUUCUCAUCCAUGAAAUUGGCACUUUUGCCUUAUGGAGAUGUGGUUUUAAAGGAGACAGUACAUAUAAAAAUUGUUCAAGGAGUUCCCAUUGUGCUCAGUGGGUUAAGGACCUGAUAUAGUCUCUGUGAGGAUGCAGAUUCCAUCCUUGUCCUCACGCAGGGGGUUAAGAAUUUGGCAUUGCCACAAGCUGCAGCGUAGGUUGCAGAUGCAGCUCAACUCCAGUGUUGCUGUGGCUGUGAUGUCGGCCUGCAGCUGCAACUUGGCCCCUGGCCUGGGAAGUUUCAUAUGCCAAAGGUAUGGCCAUAAAAAGAAAAAGAAUUGCUCAAAACAGAUGUAUGUAAAGUUCUGAAUUGUUCUGAAAACCCACAUGCUCUAUAACCAGGUCUAGGAUGUGGCCUAACCUAAUUCCUGUGUCCAGUCGCCUGGGCCAGGCUAAGGGGCUUUGCAGGACUUGUAAAAGCUCAUGUAGCUUUUAAAUCCUUGGGUUCAAGUUGUACAGGCCUUCCCCUUACAGUAAUCUUACCUUUUUUUUUUAAUCUCCACCCUGACAUCCAGCCCUGACAUAGGCUGCAUGUAAGAUUUGAUGGUUGAACAAGUAAGAGCAGGGACUACUGGGCUGCACUGCCUUUUGUGCCAGCAGCCCUAACUUACACUGUUCCUAGCUGCCCCGUAAAUUUUAACAGCACUUUUGUAGUAAUAAGACUGUACUCACAUCCUAGUAGCAUUCACAUAUCUAUUUAUCUUAUCUAUCCUCAGCUGUAAACUUCUAGCCGGCAGAAUGAAUUUGGCCUAUGUGCUGCUUUGACUUAUGUUAUGGUAUAAAAACCGGAAAAUCUCACAUGAAAAUCCUGAUUUGGGAUAACACCCACACUCCUGCACAGUAACUGUCAACACAAGUGAAAAAUCCUAAUGUUAGACUAGUCCAUGUUGUAAGCAGGGUAGAAUAAUAUAACACAUUUAAUUGUGUGUGGACAACACACCAAAAAAACCCCUAGAGUUCCCGUCGUGGCUCAGCGGAAAGGAAUCUGACUAGCACCCAUGAGGACACAGGUUCAAUCCCUGGCCUCGCUUAGUGGGUUAAGGAUCCAGCAUUGCCAUGAGCUGUGGUGUAGGUUGCAGACAUGGCUCGGAUCUGACAUUGUUGCGGCUUUGCUGGAGGCUACAGCUCCGAUUGAACCCCUAGCCUGGGAACCUCCAUACCUCUCGUAAAAAGACCUUUGCCAGCUCUGUCUUACACAAGUAAUAACAGAGGGAGUACUUUGGCCUAACACUCGAGUGUAUGUCCCCCAGCACCCAGGUAAGGGCCUCAGAUACUGUCACUAAAAAAGAGCAGGUGCAAAAGAAAAAAAUGCCUCCCUAGGGAUGUCUACAUCCCAGCCCCCUAAACCUAUGAAUACCUUACAUGGCAAAAGGAACUUUGCAGGUGUAAUUAAGGGACUUGGGGUGGGAAAGUUGUCCUCAAUUACCCAAUGGCCCCAGUGUCAUCACAAGGAUCCUUGUAAGGAGGCCAUGAGUCAGAAUUGGAGGUAAGGAGUUCCCAUCAUGGCUCACUGGAAAUGAAUCUGACUAGUAUCCAUGAGGACACAGGUUUGAUCCCUGGCCUUGCUCAGUGGGUUAAGGAUCCAGCUUUGUCAUGAGCUGUGGUGUAGGUCAAAGACGAGGCUUGGAUCUGGCACUACUGUGGCUGUGGUGUAGGCCAGGGGCUACAGCUCAGAUUUGACCCCUAGCCUGGGAACUUCCUUAUGUUGCUGGUGGGGCCAUAAAAAGACAAAAAAAAAAAAAAAAAAAAAAAAAGAAUUGGAGCUGACUGUGGAAGCAGAGGUUGGGGAGAUAUGGCCGAGGAAUGUAGGUGGCCUCUAGAAGCUGAAAAAAGGCAAGGAAUUUCCCCUAGAGCCUCCAGAAGGAAAGCAGCCUCCUUUUUCCUUUUAGUCCUGUAAGACCCAUUCCAAACUUGUGACCUCCAAAAAAUACUCCCAAAAUACUGUUUUAAGCCACUAAGUCUGUAGUAACUUGUUACAGAAGUAACCUGAAACUUACACAAAUUUCAGGACCUGGGAGUUGGGUGCUGCUGCAACAAAUACCUAAAAAAUGGUUUUGGAACUGGGCAGUAGGGAGAGGCUGGGGGAAUUAUGAUAGAGAACAACCUAGAAUGUUCUGCAGGUUGUUGGUAGAAACUUAGCUGAAUUGUGCCCCACAGUUAAGUUUCUGGUUUUUUUCUAGAGCCCCACCUGCAGCAUAUGUAAGUUCUCAGGCUAGGGGUUGAAUCAGAGCUACAGCUACCGGCCUACACCACAGCCACAGCCAUGCCAGAUCCAAGCCACAUCUGUGACUGAGACCACAGCUCAGAAAUGCCAGAUCCUUAUGAACCCCACUAGUACCCAUGAGGAUGCAGGUUCAAGGCCAGGGAUCCCACAACGGGAGGCCAGAUCCCACAACGGGAACUCCAAGAUAAACUGUUCUGAGAGAGGGUUCAACCUCACUUCUAGCACCUUAGUUUUUAAUUAACUUUGGGCUUCUGUGUCCCAACCUAGUUAACCAGCCAAAAAUACCAGACUCCCACACUGCUGAUGAGAUGGCAUUCUUUAGGGCCAAAUAAAAGGGUUUUGCUUUUUCUUUUUCAGCUGCACCUGCAGCAUAUGGAAGCUCCUGGGCCAGGGAUUGAAUCCAAGCCAGAGCUUAUCUAUAGCACGGCUGCAGCAACACUAGAUCCUUAACCCAUUGCUGGGGAUUGAACCCAAGCCUCCAGAGACAAGCUGGAUCAUUAACCCACUGUGCCGCAGCAGGACCUCCUGGAGUAAGACUAUAUAGCAUCCAGUAAAGGGGGAACAUGGUAGAAUCUUUAGGAAGAUGUAAGACGGAAAAAACCCAAAGUUGUAAGAAAAAAUUUAGUUAUUAGUAAAACUGUUAUAUUU
rnacentral:lncRNA from 1 species